UACGGGGGGAGCAAGCGUUGUUCGGAUUCAUUGGGCGUAAAGGGUGCGUAGGCGGCGCGGUAAGUCGGGUGUGAAAUCUCGGGGCUUAACUCCGAAACUGCAUUCGAUACUGCCGUGCUUGAGGACUGGAGAGGAGACUGGAAUUUACGGUGUAGCGGUGAAAUGCGUAGAUAUCGAGAGGAACACCUGCGGCGAAGGCGGGUUGCUGGGCCGACACUGACGCUGAGGCGCGAAAGCCAGGGGAGCGAACGGG
rnacentral:rRNA from 1 species